UGAGACGCGAAGGCGACGGCGG
rnacentral:misc_RNA from 1 species